rnacentral:ncRNA from 1 species
AUAAAUGCGUUGAUAGAGAAAUAGUAGACAAAAAAGGUGACAAGAGAGAGCUUGCGGGUGGUGAAAGCAAGUCGGACUUUGUAAGUUGAAUUAACCCUCUGGAGCAGACUUUGGUAACAAAGUCCGGGUCUUCCCGUUAUAGAAAAAUAGUGUGUCACCCUAGUGGUAAACAGAGCACUAAUUAAGUUCAUCAUUGCAAGAUGAUGAAGAAACAAGGUGGUACCGUCUUUUUAAAAGGCCCUUGUC